rnacentral:rRNA from 1 species
GUGACUGCGUACCUUUUGUAUAAUGGGUCAGCGACUUAUAUUCUGUAGCAAGGUUAACCGUAUAGGGGAGCCGGAGGGAAACCGAGUCUUAACCGGGCGUUAAGUUGCAGGGUAUAGACCCGAAACCCGGUGAUCUAGCCAUGGGCAGGUUGAAGGUUGGGUAACACUAACUGGAGGACCGAACCGACUAAUGUUGAAAAAUUAGCGGAUGACCUGUGGCUGGGGGUGAAAGGCCAAUCAAACCGGGAGAUAGCUGGUUCUCCCCGAAAGCUAUUUAGGUAGCGCCUCGUGAAUUCAUCUCCGGGGGUAGAGCACUGUUUCGGCUAGGGGGCCAUCCCGGCUUACCAACCCGAUGCAAACUGCGAAUACCGGAGAAUGUUAUCACGGGAGACACACGGCGGGUGCUAACGUCCGUCGUGAAGAGGGAAACAACCCAGACCGCCAGCUAAGGUCCCAAAGUCAUGGUUAAGUGGGAAACGAUGUGGGAAGGCCCAGACAGCCAGGAUGUUGGCUUAGAAGCAGCCAUCAUUUAAAGAAAGCGUAAUAGCUCACUGGUCGAGUCGGCCUGCGCGGAAGAUGUAACGGGGCUAAACCAUGCACCGAAGCUGCGGCAGCGAACGUAUCACCCAAGACAACUUUACGGAGUUGACGAUUGACGGAGCGAAGCGACGUCAAAGCGUUCAUUAAAGUCGAGUUGGCUUAGGGAUACGUUCGUUGGGUAGGGGAGCGUUCUGUAAGCCUGUGAAGGUGUGUCGUGAGGCAUGCUGGAGGUAUCAGAAGUGCGAAUGCUGACAUAAGUAACGAUAAAGCGGGUGAAAAGCCCGCUCGCCGGAAGACCAAGGGUUCCUGUCCAACGUUAAUCGGGGCAGGGUGAGUCGACCCCUAAGGCGAGGCCGAAAGGCGUAGUCGAUGGGAAACGGGUUAAUAUUCCCGUACUUGGUGUUACUGCGAAGGGGGGACGGAGAAGGCUAUGUUGGCCGGGCGACGGUUGUCCCGGUUUAAGCGUGUAGGUGUGUGUUCCAGGUAAAUCCGGUUCACUUUAACACUGAGGCGUGACGACGAGGCACUACGGUGCUGAAGCAACAAAUGCCCUGCUUCCAGGAAAAGCCUCUAAGCAUCAGGUAACACGAAAUCGUACCCCAAACCGACACAGGUGGUCAGGUAGAGAAUACCAAGGCGCUUGAGAGAACUCGGGUGAAGGAACUAGGCAAAAUGGUGCCGUAACUUCGGGAGAAGGCACGCUGACACGUAGGUGAAGUGAUUUACUCAUGGAGCUGAAGUCAGUCGAAGAUACCAGCUGGCUGCAACUGUUUAUUAAAAACACAGCACUGUGCAAACACGAAAGUGGACGUAUACGGUGUGACGCCUGCCCGGUGCCGGAAGGUUAAUUGAUGGGGUCAGCGUAAGCGAAGCUCCUGAUCGAAGCCCCGGUAAACGGCGGCCGUAACUAUAACGGUCCUAAGGUAGCGAAAUUCCUUGUCGGGUAAGUUCCGACCUGCACGAAUGGCGUAAUGAUGGCCAGGCUGUCUCCACCCGAGACUCAGUGAAAUUGAACUCGCUGUGAAGAUGCAGUGUACCCGCGGCAAGACGGAAAGACCCCGUGAACCUUUACUAUAGCUUGACACUGAACAUUGAGCCUUGAUGUGUAGGAUAGGUGGGAGGCUUUGAAGUGUGGACGCCAGUCUGCAUGGAGCCGACCUUGAAAUACCACCCUUUAAUGUUUGAUGUUCUAACGUGGACCCGUAAUCCGGGUUGCGGACAGUGUCUGGUGGGUAGUUUGACUGGGGCGGUCUCCUCCUAAAGAGUAACGGAGGAGCACGAAGGUUGGCUAAUCCUGGUCGGACAUCAGGAGGUUAGUGCAAUGGCAUAAGCCAGCUUGACUGCGAGCGUGACGGCGCGAGCAGGUGCGAAAGCAGGUCAUAGUGAUCCGGUGGUUCUGAAUGGAAGGGCCAUCGCUCAACGGAUAAAAGGUACUCCGGGGAUAACAGGCUGAUACCGCCCAAGAGUUCAUAUCGACGGCGGUGUUUGGCACCUCGAUGUCGGCUCAUCACAUCCUGGGGCUGAAGUAGGUCCCAAGGGUAUGGCUGUUCGCCAUUUAAAGUGGUACGCGAGCUGGGUUUAGAACGUCGUGAGACAGUUCGGUCCCUAUCUGCCGUGGGCGCUGGAGAACUGAGGGGGGCUGCUCCUAGUACGAGAGGACCGGAGUGGACGCAUCACUGGUGUUCGGGUUGUCAUGCCAAUGGCACUGCCCGGUAGCUAAAUGCGGAAGAGAUAAGUGCUGAAAGCAUCUAAGCACGAAACUUGCCCCGAGAUGAGUUCUCCCUGAGACUUAGAGUCUCCUGAAGGAACGUUGAAGACGACGACGUUGAUAGGCCGGGUGUGUAAGCGCAGCGAUGCGUUGAGCUAACCGGUACUAAUGAACCGUGAGGCUUAACCUU